GGGGCUGCACUGGUUUCGACGUGGAUUCGGACGCGCAGCAGGGCAUGUCGAGCUGAAUGCGCUCGUAAAACAGAUUCAAAAAAACUAACUGCAAACGACGAACGUUUCGCACUCGCUGCUUAAUCGCACGUGAGCCUCACAACAGUCAGCCGAUCGGCUGGGCAAGGGGAG
rnacentral:tmRNA from 1 species